rnacentral:lncRNA from 1 species
UGGGAGGGAAUUCUGCUACCUAGAUGUCACUGUGCGAGAUUGGGAGUUUUUCCAGCAGUGUUCGUAUGCUUGGGAUAAGUCAAGAAAUUCAAGUUAAAAUACUUUGGACUUGAAUCAAAAAAAAAAAAAAAAAGUAGAGACAUCUGGAGAAAAGAGUGAUGCAAGGCUAUAUACUUGGGUGGAGGUCAAAGAAAAGGCAAGGGAUUCAGUGGCCAAAAAGCGAGCGAAAGGGGUUGAUGGGCCAUAUGCUACCAUGACUCGGCAGUGACAUUGAGCACUUGGGAAAAUCAACAGGUCACGUUGAAAACAGCACAUUCUGAGAAAUGAUGACAGAUCCAUUUAUUUGCAACUUGGAUAUAACCCACAAAAAUGAACAAAGGAGGCUGCUGAAAGAAAUUCUUCUACAGGAAGAGCCCUCAGAAAAUGCAAACUCAGGCUUGACUUAUCGAACAGCAUGCUCUUAGUUUAAAGAUAAAUAAAAAAUCUAAAGUCUCGCUGUUGGUGCAGGCAUUUUGCAUAAGUCCUUUAAACUCCCUGUUCGUGGAUAAGAAAUAUAUUUUUUUCCUCAGCAAAGUAGGGGUUAGCUUUGUUUAGUAUAACUUGUUUAUGUCCUAAAAUAACCAGUCUCCUUUAAAAAAGAAAAAAACAAAAAACAAAAAAAACCAGGCUGCAGAGUCAUGCUUAGUCAUUCACCCAGGGAGAGCUGGAAUUGAAAACAGAAUUAUUCUGGGUAGAAAAAUAAUUUUCUAUAAUUCUCCCUGCAACCUAUGUGGCCACAAUUUCUUUCCUUCUUCUUUAUCUCACUAACAAAGUAUCUAUUCUGGUUUCUUUCAGUCAGCAUAGUUAUUUAAAGAUUCUUCACAAGUCAGACAAAUGCCAACUCUGUUUCUUUUAAUGCUUUGUUUCUUAUUGACUGUUUUCCAUUAUUUAAAGAUAUGUUCACCUUUGUCUCAGCUUCAGCUCCAGGGUACAACAGUAGCCUGAAAAGAAAGACGACACUGGCUGCAAAAGAAGACUGUAUCAUAAGAAUAUUACUUGCUUAUGGAACAUUUUUCCUUGAUACUGCAGCUUAGUUUAGAGGAAUCAUGAUGGGGACCUUAAAGUCAUCUCUUGAAUCUCUCUGAGUCUUUCAUAGCUUCUGAGCUUCCCCAACAUUCCCUCUAAAAUUUGCAUUUAUUCUUUUAAAAAAUAGUUUUAUUGCAUUAGCAUGUAUCCUACUUUAGCCUGUUUUAUAUUUUUCCCAAUAAGGCAUCCUACUGUAUGUGGUCUUUUCGGCCUUGUUUUUGUAUUCAGUAUUAUGUUUCUCUCAUUCAUCUGUUCCUGCAUGUAGUUCUAGUUCUUCCAUUGUUGUUGUUGUAUGAUAUUCACAUAUGUGAUAGAUUGCAAUUUUAUAUCUAUUUUUUUCUUUUGGACACUGAGUGACCUUCAGUUUUCUGUAUACUAUAAAGACUGCUUCUAUAAACAUUUUUGCCCAGUCACCUGAUAUUCAUGAGCAAGAGAUUCUCUAGGACAUAAAUGUAACUGUGGAAUCCUUGGGUUGGAGCAUAUGCGGUGCUCAACUUUGGAAGAUAAUGUGAAGCAAGUUACCAAUUUACACCCCCAAAGCAAUGUAUACAAAUACCCUCAACACUUGGUAUGGGCACACUUCCUCAUAUGUGCCCAUCUAUUGAAUAUAAGAUUUCUCAUUCUGGUGUUAAUAUUUAUUUCCUUGAUCCCUAAUGAGGUUCAGCAUCUUUUCAUGUAUUUAGCCAUUUCUUUCUUUCUUUCUUCUUUUUUUUCUUUUUAUGGUCACACCCGUGGCAUAUGGAAAUUCCCGGGCCAGGGGUUGAAUUGCAGCUGCAGCUGUGGCCUACACCACAGCCACAUCAAUGCUGGAUCCAAGCCACAUCUGCAGCCUAUGCUGCAGCUUCUGGCAAUUUUGGAUCCUUAAUUCACUGAAUGAGACCAUGGAUCAAACCCACAUCCUCACAAGAGACAUCGGGUCCUUAAUUCACUGAGCCACAAUAGGAACUCCUAUUUAGCCAUUUUUUAUUGGUGAAAUGUGUGUUUAUAUCAGUUUUUCUUCUGCCUUUCUAGUUUAUUUAUAUUACUAAUUUAUAGGAAUUCUUUAUGGAUUUUGGACUCCAGUUUGUUAUCAAGAAAAGAAUAUGUUUGGCAAAUAUUUUCUCUCAGCUUGUGGCUAGUUUUUUUUUUUUUUCCUUCUAAUCUAUGAUAAUCUUUUGAUGAACAUGUGUACAGUAUUUCAGUGUAGUUAAUUUUAUCAUAUUUUUAAUUUUAAGAUUAGUGAAUUUGUAUAUAAAAAGCCUUUCUUUAGCAAAAUAUGGAGAAAAAUGAUUGUAUAUUUUCGACUAAAUGCUUUACUUUUUACAUUGAAUUUUUUGACCUACCUAGAAUUAUUUUCCAUUUUUUUCCUUUAUGGAUAAUGAUUUGUCAUCGUACCAUUUACUGAAGCAUCCCACCUUUCCCUGCAAUAUGUAUCUCUCAUAUAUCAACAGUUCCUGAAUAUUCACUUGGCCCAUCUUCCUGUUCUUUGAUUGGCAGAUUUAUCUCUCUCUGCCCCCGUGUCUUACUUUAUAGUUUUACAGUAAUAUGUCUAAGAAUCUAAUGCAGAAGUUUGUUUACCUUCUUUUUUUGUUUCAGAAUGUCUUGGCUAUUCUUGAUCUUUUACUCAUCUACAUACAUUUUAGAAUUAACUUGUCUAAUUCCAUUUGAUUCUACUCUGUAUUUGGCGAUGAUUAAUAUUUUUACAGUCCUAAGUCUUUCCAUCUCCAAUUGGUAUCUCCCCACUGUUUUUAAAAAUAUAUGUCUAAUAGAUUUUUGUCAUUUUUUUGCAUGCAGGUCUUGCAUAUCUUUUCUUAGGUUAUUCUGAGGUAUCAUAUGGUUUUCAUUGCUGUUAGGAAUGUGGUCACCUUUUCAAAUUACACUUCUUAGCUCUUGAGGAUAUGUGCAAAUAAAAUUGAUUUUUUUUUUUUUUUUGCUUAUUGAUCUUGUUAACUUUCUUCCUAAGCUCUCAUGAUUUCUCAUAAUUUGUGGAUUCUUUAAGAUUUUGAAAGCACACAAUUAUAUCAUUUAAAUAUCAUGAUAAUUUGUUUUCCUCUCUAAUCUCUUUGCAUUUCUUUGCAUUUUCUUACAUUAUGAGCUGGUGAGGACCUCCAGGAAAAUGGUGAAUAAAACUUGUGAUAUAGGAUAUACUUAUCAUGAUUCUAAAGGGAAUUUUCCCAGUGCUUUCCCAAACUGAAUGAUGUCUUAGUUUCAGCAGACACAUUUUCUAAAAUGAAAGAGUCUCUUCCAUUCUUGUUUGGAUUGAGGUAUCAUUGUGCAUAUAAAUUUAAAUUUUAUAAACUUUUCUUUAUAGAGGAUAUAAUAUAUUUGAUUUUUUUGUUUGUUUAUUUGGUGAAUGGCAUGAAUUGAUUUCUGAUAUAAAGCAGCUUGCAAAUUUGCAAUAAAGUUCAACUUGGUUAAUGGUACUUGUCUUUUUGAGUGUUGCUGUAUUCAGUUUGGUAGUUUGUUAUAGAAGUUUAAAUCUCUUUGUGAUUGAGAAAAAGUCAGAAUUGUCUUUCCUAUUGUGUUUAUUAUCCUUCAGGUUCAAAGGAGAUGCUUGACUCAUAGGAAGAGUUGGGGAACAGUCCCUCAUUUCCUGUGUUCUAGAGGAGUUGCUGCGCAAUAGAUGACCUGCUUUUUGAAUGUCAGUCGAAUCCUCUGAGUGUGGUGCUUUCUUUGUAGGAAGAGUUUCAACUCCUGAUUCAACUUCUUUAAUGUGCAUAGGAGUUUAUCGGGUCUUAGUUUCUUUCUUGAGCCCAUUUGGUAAGGUAUUUGUUUUUAGGAAUUGACUCUUUUUAUCUAAAUUUUUAAAUAUAUUGGCUUUGCAUUAUUGAUUUUGUUUUCUUAGUUUUAAAAUCCCUAUCAUUUUGUGACAUACCCCUGUUUUCACUCCUUUGCUUGGUCAGUAUUAGCAGAAGUCUAUUUUAUGAAUUAUUUCAAGUAACCGACUUUUAGUUUAUUGUUACUCCCUGGCAUACUGUUUUCUGUUCAUUGAUGGCCAUUAGUAUAGUUAUUCUACCAAAUUUUUCCUUGACCUCUUAACCUGGCAGGACACUAAUUUCCAGAAUUUAUUUCAAAAAUAAGCAUUUUCAGGCUAUAAAUUUUCCUCAAAAUACAAUUUUUGUUGCAUUCCAAGUUUUGAUAAUUUCAUUUUCAUUUAUUUUUAAGAUUUCAUAAUUUCCAUCAUGAUUUCUUUUUUAAAAAAAGAGUGAAUGAUUCUUCAAUGCGCUUUUCAAAAAAUUAUGGAUACAGAGGAUUUUUAAACAUUAUCUUUUAUUUACUGAGUCCUAAUUUAGUGGAAUUGGAAUUGUGGUCAGAGAAUGCAUUCUGUCUGAUGUCGAUUCUUUGAAAUUUCCUGGGGCUUGCUUUACAGCCCGGUGGUGUGCCCGUUUUCCCAUUCUGUUCCUAUUUGGAGGAAUAAAUGGGGAGCUAGGCUCAUUUCUCACUGUAGAGACACAGGGCUAUCUAUUCGGUCUGGUCUGUAGAAUAUGGGCACAUGUCUUAAGCUUAACCAGUAAGAUUCUUUUGCCUGUGACUUUGAAUAACACAGGAAUGGGGUCAGAGAUGUUCCCAGCCAUUACAGAGUUGUUGAGAGGCCGGUGAGGUGGCAGCAAGAAUCUAGGAGCAGCAGAAUCAGCUCCUGUGUCAUAAAUGGACUCACGUGCAUGUAACUGGCUUCCCUUAGUUUUCUGCUAGAGCCUUUCACUUGAGUCUCUAUUUAUUGAUGUCUUGCUAAAUCAUUUCUUUUCUCUUUAAUUUAACCAAAGUCAGUUUCUCUUGUUUAAAACUGAGAACCUGCCAAAUGUAAAAAAGUAGUGCUUCUGGGGGAAUUACAGUAUAUUAAUUUGUUUUAUUUCACUUAACCUUACAAUCCUUUCCUCAGUAGGCAUUACUUAUUUUCCUCAUUUACCAGAUAAAGAAACUCAGGCUUCAAGAGUUUAUUUUAUUUUAUUUUUUUGUCUUUUUGCAAUUUCUUGGGCCAUUCCCGCAGCAUAUGGAGGUUCCCAGGCUAGGGGUCCAAUCGGAGCUGUAGCCACCUGCCUACGCCACAGCCACAGCAAUGCAGGACCCGAGCCGUGUCUGUGACCUACACCACAGCUCACGGCAACGCCGGAUCCUUAACCCACUGAGCAAGGCCAGGGAUCGAGCCCGCAACCUCAUGGUUCCUAGUCGGAUUCAUUAACCACUGCGCAACAACGGGAACUCCAGGCUUCAAGAGUUUAAAUGAUUAGCCCACACCAUCCUGCUUGUAUCAGCUUUACGUGAUUCUUGAACUGCUGCUCUUUAACCCUUCCAUGAGUCAGUGGAUCAUUUUUAAGUUUUUUUAUCUGACUCUUAAAGCCUAUAAACUGAAAGAAUCAAUACAAAUUGACAAAGAAUAGCUUAGGUAUGGAGCCAGCCAAGACUAGAUGCUGCAAAUAUUCAUGGAUUCUUAAAUUUUAAUUGGGAAAAAGUACUUCAUCCAGGC